GACGAACGCUGGCGGCGUGCUUAACACAUGCAAGUCGAGCGGUAAGGCCCUUUCGGGGGUACACGAGCGGCGAACGGGUGAGUAACACGUGGGUGACCUGCCCUCAGCUCUGGGAUAAGCCCGGGAAACUGGGUCUAAUACUGGAUAUUACUCUGCGGUGCAUGCCGUGGGGUGGAAAGCCUUGUGCGGCUGGGGAUGGGCCCGCGGCCUAUCAGCUUGUUGGUGGGUGAUGGCCACCAAGGCGACGACGGGUAGCCGGCCUGAGAGGGCGACCGGCCACACUGGGACUGAGACACGGCCCAGACUCCUACGGGAGGCAGCAGUGGGGAACCUUGCGCAAUGGGCGAAAGCCUGACGCAGCGACGCCGCGUGA
rnacentral:rRNA from 1 species